CUUUAUCCAAGUGUGUGUCUCCCUGCGGCGUUUGCGCUCGACGUCCCUGUGGCUGCGUGUCCCAGGCAGAUGGCGGCCCCCGAGCAGCCGCUGCCCAUGUCCAGAGGAUGCCCGAGCUCGGCAUCGCUUUCUCCGCCGCGGGGCGACCGAACCCUGCUAGUACGGCACCUGCCGGCCGAGCUGACCGCGGAGGAGAAAGAGGACUUGCUCAAGUAUUUCGGGGCGCAGUCCGUGCGCGUCCUGUCCGAUAAGGGGCGACUGAAACAUACAGCUUUUGCUACUUUUCCUAAUGAAAAAGCAGCUAUAAAGGCAUUGACAAGACUCCACCAGCUGAAACUUUUAGGUCAUACUCUAGUUGUUGAGUUUGCAAAAGAGCAAGAUCAAGUUCAUUCCCCAUGUCCCUCUUCAGGCACUGAAAAAAAGAAAAGGUCUGAGGACCCUGAGGAGGAAGAGAAAGAAAAGAAGGAACUUGGUUGUUUAACUGUAGAAAAUGGGAUCGCACCAAGCCAUGGGCUGACGUUUCCUCUAAACUCAUGCCUCAAAUACAUGUACCCGCCGCCGUCAAGCACGAUCCUAGCGAACAUCGUGAACGCUUUGGCAAGCGUGCCUAAGUUCUAUGUACAGGUGCUUCAUCUUAUGAAUAAAAUGAAUUUGCCCACACCUUUUGGACCAAUCACCGCACGACCCCCCAUGUAUGAAGACUACGUGCCGUUACACGCUCCCCUGCCGCCCACGUCUCCCCGGCCACCGGAGGAACCGCCUUUGCCAGAUGAGGACGAGGAAUUGUCUAGCAAAGAAUCCGAGUACGAAAGCAGUGACGAGGAAGACCGGCAGAGAAUGGCCAAACUAAUGGAAUUAGCAAAUCUUCAGCCCAAAAGACCGAAACCAAUAAAGCAGCGCCAUGUGAGAAAAAAGCGAAAAAUAAAGGAUAUGUUGACUAUACCUGCGCCUGUUUCACACAGCAGCGCGCACCCUGCGCUCUCACCGUCAGAUGUGUUUGACCAGCCACAGCCAGUGGGGAGUAAAAAAAUCGAGUUCCAUAUAAACACCGACAUGCCAGCUGCAUUCAGGAAGGAUUUAGAAAAGGAGCAACCAUGUGAAGAACAAAAUCGUGAUUUACCUGCUGCUGAAGGGGACGAAUCCAGCAUAGGAUUUGGAAAAAUCUUCCCCAAACCGAAUGUGAAUAUCGCAGAGGAAAGCAAAGAGGACUCUGAUGAGAUGCCUUCGGAAUGUAUUUCUCGGAGGGAGUUGGAAAAGGGCAGAAUUUCUAGAGAAGAAAUGGAAACACUUUCGGUUUUCAGAAGUUAUGAACCUGGUGAACCAAACUGUAGAAUUUAUGUAAAGAAUUUAGCUAAACAUGUUCAAGAAAAGGACCUUAAAUUUAUUUUUGGAAGAUAUGUUGACUUUUCAUCUGAAACACAACGAAUAAUGUUUGACAUUCGCCUGAUGAGGGAAGGCCGCAUGAAAGGGCAAGCGUUCAUUGGGCUCCCCAACGAGAAAGCAGCCGCGAAAGCCUUGAAGGAAGCGAAUGGCUAUGUUCUUUUUGGGAAGCCUAUGGUGGUUCAAUUUGCUCGAUCUGCUAGACCAAAACAAGAUUCUAAAGAAGGAAAAAGGAAGUGUUAAAAAUUGAUAAAGAAAGUGAGAAGACAUUAAACUGCCUUCUGCUGCUCUUCCUUAGAAGCCUUCCUGCGUAACACUGCCGUAGCUCUGUCAUACAAAGCGUAUCCUUUCUUGUUGAAGAAGCAAAGAGUAACAGAGGUGGAAGACAGAAUAUUGACCCAGGGUAGCACAUUAAGUGAAAAGAAACAAUCUCGGUGGGUAUGUAAGAACAGUGGUUUCCAGACCAGUUCACGGCCAGAAUCACCUGGAACUGGUUCUCAAUCUUGAAUGUAUAUGGAAAUGACCUAGGAAGCUUUUAAAAACUCCUGAUUAAAAAGUAAAACAAAGAGCUACCUUAAAAAAAUAUACUGAAGCCUGGGUUCCUGACCCCAAGUUUUGACUUUCUGAUUUGGUGGGCAACAUAGAUGCUGGUUGAGAACUGUGGAGGAAGGAGUUUUAGACAUAAAGAUUACUGAACUCUGUCCUAGAAUGAAUAAAUCGGAACCUACAGGAAUGGGACAAAGAAUCUAACCUGAAAAGCUUGCCUUGGUGUAGUUAUAAGGAUUCACCAGUUUGGAGACUAGUGUGUGAGAUUAAAAUGGUUUGGUGCCUGAUACCAACCUAGCCGUCCAGCCUUUUGUAAGUAGGAAAGUAGAGGUUGGUGUCUCUGCUUUUCCUUCUUACAAAUCCUGCAGUUACCAGAACUGUCAAAACAAUUUUUAAAAAAUCUUUUAGUAAUCAUUCUUUC